rnacentral:rRNA from 1 species
GUGAGGAAUAUUGGUCAAUGGGCGCAAGCCUGACGCAGCCAUGCCGCGUGAAUGAUGAAGGUCUUAGGAUUGUAAAAUUCUUUCACCGGGGACGAUAAUGACGGUACCCGGAGAAGAAGCCCCGGCUAACUUCGUGCCAGCAGCCGCGGUAAUACGAAGGGGGCUAGCGUUGCUCGGAAUUACUGGGCGUAAAGGGCGCGUAGGCGGACAGUUUAGUCAGAGGUGAAAGCCCAGGGCUCAACCUUGGAAUUGCCUUUGAUACUGGCUGUCUUGAGUACGGGAGAGGUGAGUGGAACUCCGAGUGUAGAGGUGAAAUUCGUAGAUAUUCGGAAGAACACCAGUGGCGAAGGCGACUCACUGGCCCGUUACUGACGCUGAGGCGCGAAAGCGUGGGGAGCAAACAGGAUUAGAAACCCUGGUAGUCC